AAGAGAAUGAAAUCCUAGAUUUGAAGAAGCCAUUUUCCUUGUGCUGGCAGCAAAGUUUUAAACAGCUGCAAAACUACUGCAGGGGAUGAGGAGUGAAUCGUGGGAUACUUUGCAGUUUAAUCUUAACUAAGGUGCAACGACGACUACUUCAUGCCCCUUCUGCUUGAGACCGUCCAACACUUCCCGCAUGCUGAGCCAAUGACUCCCGUCCACCGGCACCACCAGCAGCUUCCCACCAGCAGCCAAACCGAGCACGGACAGGAGCAGAACCAGCGUCGCCGUGACUUGCAGAUGAGCGCUAAGCACUGGGGCCAUGUCUGCAGAAAUCUGGUGCAACGACGACUACUUCAUGCCCCUUCUGCUUGAGACCGUCCAACACUUCCCGCAUGCUGAGCCAAUGACUCCCGUCCACCGGCACCACCAGCAGCUUCCCACCAGCAGCCAAACCGAGCACGGACAGGAGCAGAACCAGCGUCGCCGUGACUUGCGGAUGAGCGCUAAGCA